GACGAACGCUGGCGGCGUGCUUAACACAUGCAAGUCGAACGGAAAGGCCCUGCUUUUGUGGGGUGCUCGAGUGGCGAACGGGUGAGUAACACGUGAGUAACCUGCCCUUGACUUUGGGAUAACUUCAGGAAACUGGGGCUAAUACCGGAUAGGAGCUCCUGCUGCAUGGUGGGGGUUGGAAAGUUUCGGCGGUUGGGGAUGGACUCGCGGCUUAUCAGCUUGUUGGUGGGGUAGUGGCUUACCAAGGCUUUGACGGGUAGCCGGCCUGAGAGGGUGACCGGCCACAUUGGGACUGAGAUACGGCCCAGACUCCUACGGGAGGUAGCAGUGGGGAAUAUUGCACAAUGGGCGGAAGCCUGAUGCAGCAACGCCGCGUGCGGGAUGACGGCCUUCUGGUUGUAAACCGCUUUCGCCUGUGACGAAGCGUGAGUGACGGUAAUGGGUAAAGAAGCACCGGCUAACUACGUG
rnacentral:rRNA from 1 species